ACGGGUGAGUAACGCGUGGGAAUCUACCGUGCCCUGCGGAAUAGCUCCGGGAAACUGGAAUUAAUACCGCAUACGCCCUACGGGGGAAGGAUUUAUCGGGGUAUGAUGAGCCCGCGUUGGAUUAGCUAGUUGGUGGGGUAAAGGCCUACCAAGGCGACGAUCCAUAGCUGGUCUGAGAGGAUGAUCAGCCACAUUGGGACUGAGACACGGCCCAAACUCCUACGGGAGGCAGCAGUGGGGAAUAUUGGACAAUGGGCGCAAGCCUGAUCCAGCCAUGCCGCGUGAGUGAUGAAGGCCUUAGGGUUGUAAAGCUCUUUCACCGGAGAAGAUAAUGACGGUAUCCGGAGAAGAAGCCCCGGCUAACUUCGUGCCAGCAGCCGCGGUAAUACGAAGGGGGCUAGCGUUGUUCGGAAUUACUGGGCGUAAAGCGCACGUAGGCGGAUAUUUAAGUCAGGGGUGAAAUCCCAGAGCUCAACUCUGGAACUGCCUUUGAUACUGGGUAUCUUGAGUAUGGAAGAGGUAAGUGGAAUUGCGAGUGUAGAGGUGAAAUUCGUAGA
rnacentral:rRNA from 1 species